CCAAAAACAAUGACCUGUUUUCUUUUGUUUCACACUAAAUAUAGCUCGCUGCAUGUCAUCUUCAUAACCAUGUUAGUCAAAAUGGGUGUUCUGAAGAAUUUGACCCAAGGAUACAUGGCUGAACAAAAGGGGUUCAAGGACGGACUCUUGAGGAACUCCACAUGUCAUUGGGUUUCGGAUUUCAAUUUCGGGUUUUAAACCAGGGUUAUGGUUUCAAAGUAGGAUUUUAAACUAGGGUGGGAUUUUCAAAUUUGGGUCUGAUUUUCCAAUUAGGGUUUGAAACCAAGGGCACAUAGAGGGCCGAUCUUUGACGAAGGGGCGUCCUGCUGAGAUAGAUGAGUAUAAAGUUGCGUCCACACUUCCAAACCCCUGACCACCCACUGCACUCGACAAAUAAUUUUUUGAUGUGCAUCAAAAUCGGCCGGCUGUCCCGGCAUCCACUGACCUUACGUGCCCAUCUACCUGACAGCAGUAAUCAUAAUUAUGUUUCUAUUAUGUAAAACUGCUUUACUUGAUGUACAGUCUCAAUCUCCGUUUGUGCUUAAACUCGUCUCCAGGUGCCAUCCCAUCUUGUGGACUGAAAAUGUAAAAAUAUAUAAGGCUUGGAGGAAACGGUUAAACUAUGAAAGGACAAAUAGGUCAUGGAAAUACUGAACAUAUGCCACUUUGUGUGGAUUUUUGGCAUCAUCGCACAUCUGUCUCUUCAGCUUAGAGUUGUUUGUUUGUGAAAUGAAAACAGUAUAAAAUGCAAUUCGGGACAUUUACAUAGUUGUUUUUUUUUAUUGCAAACGUGGUUUCUUAUAAAAGGGUCACAAAAGCAAAAAAAGAAGCUUGAAA